rnacentral:rRNA from 1 species
CCCCAGACUCCUACGGGAGGCAGCAGUGGGGAAUAUUGCACAAUGGGGGAAACCCUGAUGCAGCGACGCCGCGUGAGUGAAGAAGUAUUUCGGUAUGUAAAGCUCUAUCAGCAGGGAAGAAAAUGACGGUACCUGACUAAGAAGCCCCGGCUAACUACGUGCCAGCAGCCGCGGUAAUACGUAGGGGGCAAGCGUUAUCCGGAUUUACUGGGUGUAAAGGGAGCGUAGACGGCAUGGCAAGUCAGAUGUGAAAGCCCGGGGCUCAACCCCGGGACUGCAUUUGAAACUGUCAGGCUGGAGUGCAGGAGAGGUAAGUGGAAUUCCUAGUGUAGCGGUGAAAUGCGUAGAUAUUAGGAGGAACACCAGUGGCGAAGGCGGCUUACUGGACUGUAACUGACGUUGAGGCUCGAAAGCGUGGGGAGCAAACAGGAUUAGAUACCCCUGUAUCC